AUUUUUACACAUUAUAUUAAAUUUAUCAAAACCAAAAGCAAAUAAUCUUACGACAAAAUUAACAAGCAGCAGCGCCACUCAAUAAGCUUUAAAACAAUUCCCUCCUACCCCACCAACAAAAAGAUCCGAUAAUAUUUUGAGCAGACCUGAUCCUGUAAGAGGGAGCGUUAGUAUAUGGGCUCGCUCCAAGGUAAAGGUCGGACUUGCAUAUGCUCCCCUUUUCAAAUCUCUCUGCUUGUUCGAUUUACUCGGACUGCACUAGAAUUCGAUACCUCAUGCAAUAAUAUCCAUUAAUAACAAUCCAACGAUUUUAAUAUAAUAUAAUCUCCGAAGACAAUAAUACCUGUUUUAAUUACAAUUUCAGUUCCAGAAGGUAAAUUAAUCAAAGUUGAAACCCUAAUCUCGAGUUCAAAUCCUACUUAUAUUAAAUUGAGCAGACUGGCUUCUUUCUUUUUAACUCCAGCAACCACUAACUCACAUUUCUUAAUCAACAAGGACUUAAACAUCCAAAAGGAGCACUAAAUAUUGUAUGCAAAAGAGUAUCUGGUUUCGAUAUUUGUAUUACUAUAGUCUAUUGAUAUUGGUUUUGAGUACAAUUUUGUGAAGAUUCAAAGAAUUGAUAUAAUUAUAGUCUCAGUUAUCAAAGUUCGCUAUUAUGGUCAGAAGUGGAAUAAAAUUGUGAUGCUAAAUCCUUGACAAUUUGAACCAAACCUUUCAAGUCAUUGCUUCCCAAUUCAAGGCAGUCCCUUAAUAAUCCACCAUCCACCACCUCUCUCUGCACCGCCUCCGCCACCUCCUUCAAAGCUUCCUGCCAAAUCCAACCCAAAACGCAUAAACACUUCAAAGAUCUUCAAAAAAAGGUUGAAGAGAACAUAAAUAUCAAGCAUCGUACCGAUCGAUUAAACACGUGGAUAAACCUUUUUAACACCGACUUAGCAAUUCUUACGACAUCACUGUAGUUUCUCGCAACCCAAGAGACUCUCUCCACCUGCGAUUCUGCCCUAGUUAACUGGGCCAAAAACCUAGCCAACUCAUUUAAGUCCGAAACGAUGCCGUACAGCUCCGUAUAAUCCAAUUCCCUCCACGCGUAGUUUUUCGCAUAAUCCCACCCUACCGACCACGCCAAACCCCAGAACCCAGAUCCUAACCCUUUCUCCAACUUCUGAGCGAUUAGCUUCGCACGAUUUGCGCCGGCUAUGUCGCCGCGUGCAGCACGCAGGUUGGACACGCGUAUGAGUAGGGAAUGGGAGAGGGAGACAACUGUUUUGUAUUGGGAGUAAGAGCUGAAAAGGGAGGAUGGAGCGAAACUGGUGGUGGUGGUGAGAAGGAGGAAGAGGAAGAGGAAAGAGGGAGCUAGCGGUGGAUUAAUCCGGUACAUUGGCUUUGAAAUUAUCAGACGGCGAAGGAUUUUCAGUUGACGAGUUGGGAGACGUGACUUCUGUGAUUAAAUGGAGAGAAG
rnacentral:misc_RNA from 1 species